GGAGGAAGAACCACAGGGAUUGCCCUAGUAACGGCGAGUGAAGCGGCAACAGCUCAAAUUUGAAAUCUGGCUUCGGCCCGAGUUGUAAUUUGUAGAGGAUGCUUUUGGCGCGGUGCCUUCUGAGUUCCCUGGAACGGGACGCCAUAGAGGGUGAGAGCCCCGUAUAGUUGGACACCAAGCCUUUGUAAAGCUCCUUCGACGAGUCGAGUAGUUUGGGAAUGCUGCUCAAAAUGGGAGGUAAAUUUCUUCUAAAGCUAAAUACCGGCCAGAGACCGAUAGCGCACAAGUAGAGUGAUCGAAAGAUGAAAAGCACUUUGAAAAGAGGGUUAAAUAGCACGUGAAAUUGUUAAAAGGGAAGCGCUUAUGACCAGACUUGUUCCAGGUUGAUCAUCCAGUGUUCUCACUGGUGCACUCUGCCUGGAUCAGGCCAGCGUCGAUUUUCGUAGGGGGAUAAAGACAUUGGGAAUGUAGCUCCUCCGGGAGUGUUAUAGCCCUUUGUAUAAUACCCUUGUGGGGAUCGAGGUACGCGCUCUGCAAGGACGCUGGCGUAAUGGUCAUCAGCGACCCGUCUUGAAACACGGACCAAGGAGUCGAGGUUUUGCGCGAGUGUUUGGGUGUUAAACCCGCACGCGUAAUGAAAGUGAACGUAGGUGAGAGCUUCGGCGCAUCAUCGACCGAUCCUGAUGUAUUCGGAUGGAUUUGAGUAAGAGCGUAUAGCCUCGGACCCGAAAGAUGGUGAACUAUGCCUGUAUAGGGUGAAGCCAGAGGAAACUCUGGUGGAGGCUCGCAGCGGUUCUGACGUGCAAAUCGAUCGUCAAAUUUGGGCAUAGGGGCGAAAG
rnacentral:rRNA from 1 species